rnacentral:rRNA from 1 species
GGCAGCAGUGGGGAAUAUUGGACAAUGGGGGCAACCCUGAUCCAGCCAUGCCGCGUGUGUGAAGAAGGCCUUUUGGUUGUAAAGCACUUUAAGCAGUGAAGAAGACUCCAUGGUUAAUACCCAUGGACGAUGACAUUAGGUGCAGAAUAAGCACCGGCUAACUCUGUGCUAGCAGCCGCGGUAAUACAGAGGGUGCAAGCGUUAAUCGGAAUUACUGGGCGUAAAGCGAGCGUAGGUGGCCUGAUAAGUCAGGUGUGAAAUCCCCGGGCUUAACCUGGGAACUGCAUCUGAUACUGUUAGGCUAGAAUAGGUGUGAGGAAGGUAGAAUUCCAGGUGUAGCGGUGAAAUGCGUAGAGAUCUGGAGGAAUACCGAUGGCGAAGGCAGCCUUCUGGCAUCAUAUUGACACUGAGGUUCGAAAGCGUGGGUAGCAAACAGGAUUAGAUACCCUGGUAGUCCACGCCGUAAACGAUGUCUACUAGUCGUUGGGUCCCUUGAGGACUUAGUGACGCAGCUAACGCAAUAAGUAGACCGCCUGGGGAGUACGGCCGCAAGGUUAAAACUCAAAUGAAUUGACGG